ACACUCCUACGGGAGGCAGCAGUGGGGAAUUUUGGACAAUGGGCGAAAGCCUGAUCCAGCAAUGCCGCGUGUGUGAAGAAGGCCUUCGGGUUGUAAAGCACUUUUGUCCGGAAAGAAAUCCUUGGCUCUAAUACAGUCGGGGGAUGACGGUACCGGAAGAAUAAGCACCGGCUAACUACGUGCCAGCAGCCGCGGUAAUACGUAGGGUGCGAGCGUUAAUCGGAAUUACUGGGCGUAAAGCGUGCGCAGGCGGUUUGCUAAGACCGAUGUGAAAUCCCCGGGCUCAACCUGGGAACUGCAUUGGUGACUGGCAGGCUAGAGUAUGGCAGAGGGGGGUAGAAUUCCACGUGUAGCAGUGAAAUGCGUAGAGAUGUGGAGGAAUACCGAUGGCGAAGGCAGCCCCCUGGGCCAAUACUGACGCUCAUGCACGAAAGCGUGGGGAGCAAACAGGAUUAGAUACCCCAGUAGUCCCAUGAU
rnacentral:rRNA from 1 species